rnacentral:pre_miRNA from 1 species
UAUACCAUUGGUGGUAAAGAUUGGUGUGAUUCUGUCAAAUUUUUCAGCAUCACUACCCACCUCAAGUACUUCUGUUUUACUGGCAUUCGGAAAUAAAAAAUGAUUACUCAUCCAUAAUUUUAUAUUGGUAA